rnacentral:lncRNA from 1 species
ACCAUUCCUUUUUUUCGUGAACUCUCAGAAUACCUAUUUUCAUUCCUAUUUUACGUCCAAAGAAAGUCGGGGAAGCUGGCACCGCCGCCGCUCGGAUAUUUUUUUGCCUGCCGAUCAUGAUAUUUCCAAGUUGGAAAAAUGCGCACAGGAUCCGGGCGCUGGCUCGAGGAGGCCCCGGGAUUUAUUGCGACGCUCGCGACCCCUCUUACCAUAGCCGAGUCGGCUUCCCGCGCGACAACAACCACGAUGAGACACAAAGAGGCCGACGACAGCAGCAGCGCGCUCCGGACGAUCUUUCGGGUCGUCCUCAUGGCCGCCAUCAUGGCCGGCAUCUCCUCGGUCAACGCCGGCUGCGGGGUCGGCGGCCCCUGUCCCAACCGCGCGUCGCCCAUCGGUGGGAGUCGUUCGGUUUACUGGUCCAGUAGCAGAAGUGGUGGAGGUGGCGGAUAUAACGUCGUCAGCAGGAGCAACGGCGGAGGCGGUUUCGGUGGAAGUAGUUUUGGCGGAGGCGGCUUCGGUGGAAGUGGUUUCGGUACGAGUGGCUUCGGUGGAGGCGGCCUCGGUGGCAGCAUGUUCGACAUCGGCAGUGGGUUCGGAGGUAUGCCUGGUUUUGCUCCGCCGAUUGUAGGUAUGCCUGGGUUCGCUUCUGGGUUUACCGGCGGGUUUGCGAGUGGAGGCGGCGGUGGAGGUGGUGGAGGAAGAAGCAGUAUCUCCAUCAAGAGUGGAGGAGGUGCCUCUGUGCGAGUGACUCGGGAUGGAGGCGUGCAUUUGUCCAUCGGGAAUAUCGAUGGUGGAAGGUCGGCCGGUGGAGGUCAUGGAUUCGCCAAGUUCGAUAGCGGCUCGGAUGGUGUCUCCUUUUCGCCGAGUUCAGGGAAAAGUAUACGUAUCAUGGACGAUGUUCGGUCGGACUUCAGCGGUGAGUGGGGUCAUGAUGGACAUGCCACCUGGGCAUCACGCGACGAUCGAGGCUACAAAACGUUCAAAGACGUCUUCACGCAAAAGCUCCGCAACGAUGGACACGAGCACGGUUCAGGGUGCACAUCUGGAUGCAACAGGAGAUAUAAAUACGAUUACGAUUACGACUCGUACGAUUCUGGCGAUGACUCUGUAAAUAUUCCAGUUCAUGAAGUAUCAAGAGAAGAAAAGUCAAAAGUGUUUGACCUGAGGGCUGGGCAGCAUGAUUUUCAUACCAGCAAAGAAUUCGAUAACGAUUUUGAGAAUUAUGAUGAAAUGGACGAUGGAUGGGACAGUUCAGACGGACAUUCGGGAUCACACUCCUCUCUUCAUGAGGAUGAAGCAAUAAACCACGACCAGUCUGACAACUCACUUGCUUCUGACUUCCGAUCUGUGUUGUCGCAAAGUAUACCCAUCGGGGGGCAAGGGACGUACGAUACUUCCAACAACAAUGGAUACAUGCUUUCAAAUGACGUGAUUGGCGCUGUGCAGGAUUUGAUAGAUGACCACUCAGGACUUCAAAUGACGUUUGCUUGCCAGCCGAAAAUCGGCAAAUAUUUGUGCAAAAUUCAAUGUGUGAAGCAAGACGAAGCGAUGACCGGAAGUUGCGAAACCGGAUAUUGCAGCUGCAUGCUCAAAGAAGAGCAUAAAUUGAGGAAGAAAAUGAACAAACGUUUUUUGGCUGCAAUGAAAGGUUUCGACACGGAUUGCGGUGAUAGGAAGAAAGCGAAACAAUGCAAGCGGUUUUGCAAGGCUCAGACGCCCGACAAGUCCUUCACUGGCCUUUGCGCGAACAACUUCUGCAAAUGCGUCACGUACCCAACGACCCCGGAGAAAAAGAAGACUGCCUGCGAGAAAGCCAUCAAAAACCUGAAGAAGAUCGAGGAUCAAGCCUUGCGACACUUGGGAGUCCAACCAGUACCUCUCAGCGGCGCCGCGGAGAAGAAUGCCAGCCUGGCCGCCGACGAAGCCAUUCAAAAGUUAAAGGCCAAUAACUCAAUAGACGACUGCACAGAAGAGGACAUCCAGAAUUUGAGGGGUGUCAUCGCGAGCCUUGCCCAAGGCCUCAACUUAGCCCGAUCUCACAGUCAAACAUCAAGCUCAUCUCACGGCGAAAAAACUGAGUCUGAAUCCACGACGUACACAGCCUCCCAUCGUCACCCAGAUCAGCGUCAAAGUAUGAGGAGAGCCAUUUUUCAAGAACCCGCCGAGGUGGACUUGAAUCUCCAAGGCCUCCAUCCUCCAAAUCAGGCUCGUCCAUCCAUGAGGAGAUUCAGGUGUCAAGAACAAACCGAGAGCCGAGUGAACCUCCACGACCUUCAUCACAUGGAUCAUUCCACGAAGAGAGUCGGGCAUCAGGAACAAGCGGAGGUGGACUAGAGAUUUUACGCCUCACGUCUCCCCCGUCGCCCAAAUCAGGUUCGGGAUUCUUCGAAGAGAGUUACACAUCAAGGACAAACCGAGAUGGUAGCGAAUCUCCACGACCUCCGAAAACGCCAAAAUCAGGUUCGAAGUUAAUUGAAGAAAUUCACGUGUCAAGAAACGAACCUCCACGACCCGUAUCACCAAAAUCAGGUUCGUCAUUCUUCGAGGGGAGAACCGUAUCAAGAACCAGCCAGGAAGGUAACGAAUCUCCACGACCUGCAGCCUCAAGAUCGCUCAAAUCAGGCUCGUCAUUUUACGAGGAGAGCCACGUAACGAGAACGAUCAGAAACGGAAACGAAUCUCCACGAACUCGAUCCGUGCGUAUCGUCACCACGACACCACCCAGAUCAGGUUCGUCGCACUUCGAGGAGAGCCACUCGACUGAAUCUCCAGGACUUCGAUCCGUCGCCUCAACGCCUGGACCAGGCUUCGAGGAGAGCCGGGUUUCGAGAACACACAGGAAUGGAGUCGAAUCCUCCGGUCGAUCGGCUCAGGCUGUGCCUUUGACGUCACCCAAAUCGGGUUCCUCAUAUUACGUGGAGAGCAGAUCAUCCGGAACGCUUGGUGGAGGUCUCGCAACCCCUACCUAUCCUUCAAUGGUUACAACCGUCUCGUCAGGCACAGCUUCUAGAGGUGGAAGUUCACCGUGCAAGUCAAAAUGCGGGAAGCCUUUGGCUUAAAUCAGGGAUUUUGGGAAAAUUUCAGAUGGCUUGCAAGAUUUUUGGAUAAUAUUUAUUACCUCGUUUUAGUUUUUACCUGUUUUUGGUCUAUGAUAUUUUUGUUCCUACGUAGUUUAGUAGCGCAUGAGAGCAGGGACCCCAUCCUCUUUUGUAUCAACCUUCCAUCUUCUCAUCAUCACCUUUUCCUCUGAUAAUUUUUCUUUAAUCAUCGCCCACCUCGGGACUAGGAAAGUACCUUGAUGGCAAAUUGUCGUGACUUAAAACACUUAGACAACAAAAAUCACUCGCUGCUAACAAAGCUAUUCACCUCUUUUUCUAUUUUCUCUUCCUUAUUUUUGUGCCUCUGUGUUUAUCAUGGAGUGUUUAUUCAUAAAUAUUUUCCAGACGAUUUACCAGUUACUAUAGUAAGUAUUAAAGCAUAGUAUAAAAAUUGAUAGAUACAAAUUAAUCAGAUUCGCUCUCGUCUGAUUCAAUCAGUUUUGGAAGUAACUUUUUCUGUUUUUUAUUUUCUUUUUUAGGGAUCUCUUCUUCCUCAUCCUCCUCUACCUCAUCAUCAUCAUCAUCAUCAUUAUCCUCACAUUCAGAAUCUUAACUUUUUCACAGUUUUUGGUUUUUUUUUCUGAACAGGUUUCUUAGUAUUUUUUUCUUCUUCUUUUCCUUUUCAUCAUCUUCAUCCAACUCCUCUUUCUUACUUACUAUGUACUUCCAUUCACUUGUUUCCGGUUCUAGUAGCCAUUGAUGCAAACUUGCAUUUUCAUCGUUAAUUCUAUUCAACGAAUAUCUUGAUUCUGCCUCCCGCUCAACUUCAGUGACUUGUUAUCUCUCAGGUUCUUCUUUCUCAUCAUUUUAAAAGUUCUUAUUUUUUAAAUAAUUUAUUUAUUUUAUAGAUUUAAAGUUUUUAACCACCUGAAUUAAGGAUGGGUUAAACUAGUUCUUCGUGAUUUUUCCCGUCCUAGAUCCUCAACCAUAACUGAGACUUUUCCGAACUCUGAUGUUUGUAUUAUUAAACCCGCUCGAAUACAGCUUUUAACAUUUUUAGAAAGCUAAUUUAAAUACAUACUAAAAUUCAUUCAUUUUUUUUAUUAAGAGAAAAUUGUACAAUUCAUUCAUGAGCCAAUUUCUUCCCCACUUUCAAGUAAUGCAUCCUGUUUAAGCAGUAAUUGCUCUGAAAUGCACGGUUAUAGCUCGUACAUUUAUCUACAGAUUUUAAUGUAAUUGAUUUUCCAUGCAUUAGAUUUAGGUAUCCUAACUGUUCCGGCUUUCUGUGAUCAUGUAAUUUAUGUUUUUCAUAUUAAGUAAUAUAGAGUCAGCAUUAUUUGUUUUCGGUGCAAACUUCCUACUUUUAAAAAAUAGAAAUAAAGGAAUUUUUCAACGGACAUAAAUUAAAAUAAUCUAGGAUUUUAAGCAAUGUACCCCUAAAAAACGUAACACACCUCCCGAAAAUCUAAUUUGCACACAUACCUACUUAACCUGAGGAUGGAAAGGAAAAAUCAAAGAGAUAUAGAACUACGGCUUUGAUCAAAAUCAAUCUAACUUCAUUACAGAUUGCCUGUAAUUCUCUCAUGUUUUAGUUUUUCGAUGGAAACUCUUUCAUAUUUGAAGAAAAUUUAGUUUAAAGGUAGUUAGGUAUUAAACUCUCUCAUUGUCGCUGCAUAAACCCGAAACACAAAGAGCUAGUAAGCAAAACUAAAGGAUAGACAUCUAAAGCUACGCUGAUCUGGCAGUGUUAAGAAAAAACUUCGAAUGAACAAUUGAAUGAUUUUGAUUUUUCCGAAUAAAAUGGUCCAAUUGUUCGUACGGCGCACUUAUGCUGAAAGGAACUAUCUUGCACGUAAACUGUAUGCACAAAGUUUUUUUCUAGCCUUAAUACGCCAAUACGGCGUCUUUACUCAGUUAUUUUGAGAAAAACUGAUCAUUCCUGCUUAAAUGUUCAUUGAGGAUGUAAGUCUUUCCCUUUUAUCUAGUUUUUUUUCCAAUUAAAUUAUAAUUAUAUUACAUCAUAUUUUCGGACCUUAAGCUUCUUUGAAAACAUACUUAUCAUGUCGCAGCAGUAGGUAAACCGUCACAUUCUCGGUACCACUUAUCUCGGUUUCAGUAACAGUG